GGCGCCACCCUCGAAGAGUGUACACUACUGUACUUUCCCCCGAGUCACCGCGGGCUUCAGGUCAGAGGGCGGGGUUUCCAGGCAAGCAAGCGGGAAUGGCACCGUCAGCACCUCUCCUUGACACGAAGGAGCGCGCGCUGCUGAAAGCGGCACCCCCGACCUGCCCUGACUCUUUCCCCUCCACCUGGCCGAAACAGCCUCCGAAGAGCGGUCGGGGAGGGGGGGCCCUAGGAAAAAGAAGCGCCUGCUUCGUGUCUUCUGAGGGGGCGUGGGGGGACCUUCCGUGCUUCUGCCCCCCCCACACUCUAGGGUGGUCGCCCGUUCUGACGUUUUCGCUCCCCUUUUGUCGAAACCCUGUCCUCUCUCGCCGUCCCGCUUGGUCGGUACCUCACUUUCGUGAAGUUUUUGUGUCCAUCAGAGGCGUACUGCAGUAUCUUCCGACUCGUUGCUUGAUUUACAUUUAAGAAAGACGUUUUCUGGCAAAUUCUGUCUUGUCAAGAACUUUUGGAGGUUACAUCUAAGAGCAACUUUCCUGCCGAAAUCCAUCUUGCCAAGAACUUUUGGUCUUUUAAAUUCUUCACCCUGGUACAAGCCCAAUGAACUGGUGUUUGAGCCACAAAAGAGAAGUAAUUACAGCUACCAUAUAUUUAAGAAUGUGUUUUGGAAAGCUAUCAGUUUUGCUGUUGCUGAUCUUUAGCUUUGCCAGCCCAGAAAAGCUUUGCAGGAGACACUCGCCUAUUAAUGUAAUAGAAAAUGAAUAUUUUUCAAAUUGCUGCCCCUCAAUGGAACAAGAUGAAGGAUACACUGUAAACUGGUACAGAGAAAAAGAAGGGAAGUGGAUGGCAAUUCAAGAAGACAGCAGAACUGAUUUGAAUGGGACAUAUUUGCGGUUUUGGCCAGCUGUCCUGAAUGACACAGGAAACUAUAAUUGUUG